AAGCAUUAGAAGCCUUAGUGUUUCAAUUUGCCAUCAACUUGCUCUGCAAGCCCAGACCAAACCCUGAGCUUCCUCUGGCUUUCUCUUUGGUUAAACAAGAAGCCUUUAUCUUCAUCUCUCCAUCAGAACCCGUGGCCUGCUCCUCUCUCCCUUCUCUGCUUUCAUUGUCCACCAAUACUGAAGUCAUAAAUGACUAGAGGGAGCUGGAGUGUGAGGGUCCAGAAACUUGUAUGAUCCAGGAUCCUCACUCAACAAAACAUCCCAGUCACGAGUGGGAUGGGUAAUGAAAACCUCCCGCAAGUUUACAGGGUGCGGAGGGGACUCCCUGGCAGGUAGACCGCCAUCUCCUCCACCUCGCUUUCCUACUCACAGGAGUGAGAGUUCCAUGUCACACAUCCAAUAAAGUUCAACUCUGCAAGCAUGAGAGAGAAGAGGAAGGAAAAGAGAGAAUCUAAAGUGUGAAUGAUUCUGUUUACCAUUCCACGGAGAAGUCCAGCAUGCUCACUGAGAGUCCCGCCAUCCCUGGGGCUGACAGUCCCGUGGUUUGUUCUGGCUCUAGGUGUCCACCCCCGAGGAACUCUGAAUUCACAGUCUCACAUGAAGGGACGGCACCCUGCUCUCCCUGUGCAAGGCACUGAGCUUCAUGUCAAACUUGGCCUCUGUGUUUAGUUCCCACCAGGCCCUUCUCCCAAGAAAUGUACAUGUAGCAAACUUUACUCAAAGCGUGGGGACUCAGGAGGGAUUUUAAAAAAUCAUAAAAAUGCCGAGUUUAAAAUUAGAUCGUAUUAGUUUUCCUUAGAAGGAAGAAAAAAAGUUUAAAAAUUAAAAAAAGAGAUAAAAUUAGAUCUUAUAUAUCUCUCUCCUGAAAAGUCCCUUAACAGCCUUGCUGUAGGGAAUGUCUUUCUCACCGACCACUUUUCUUGGAAGAUUCCAGCCUUCCACCUUGUUGUUUGCCUCCUCUAUCCAUAAAACAUUCAAAUUCUCUCAUUUAUCUUAGAAGGCAGUUUAGCUCUACAGCCCCUACACAGUCCUAGACCUCCUUUCUAUAUCUACUAUUAAGUACCAUUCACACCAAGGGUCACCUACUCUGAGUUUCAAACAUUAGUAAUAAAGAAGAGAAAGUGGAGGCUUUGAAAUUCCCAUAUUUUCUUCAUGCCUCUCCACCAGUCUUUGUAAGUGAAAUAGAGUCUGAUAGAGAUUUAUUUUCUCAUUGAUAUUAACUAUGCUUCUCCUCUUAGAAGACAGAGGCAUCUGCAGUCAGUGUCAAAUAUUUCCCACCCUACCAUAUAUAUAUGAAAUACAUGGAUUAUGUUCUAUGGACAAUUUGGCAUCUUGUUUGUUUCAGUUACUAUUGCUGCAUAACAAAUCAUUCCAAACUUACAGGUUAAUCAACAACAAUUUAUUAUGCCCACAGAUUCUGCAGAUCAGGGAUUUGAGAGGAUCAUGGUGGAAUCACUUGUUUCUGUUCCAUGAUGUCUGGGGCCUCAAAUGGGGAGAUAGAGAGGUUGGGGAUGGCUUCGUGGGUGAGGGCUAGAAUUAUUAAGAGGGUUAUCACUUACAUGCCUGGCAGUUGAUGUAAGUCAUCAGCUGAGAUGUCAGCUGGGGACAUCCACUGAAAUACCUACUCAUGGCCUGUCCACGUGGUGCCUUGGGUCUCAUCACAGCAUGGUGGCUGGGUCCCAAGAGUGAGCAUCUCAAGAGAGCAAGGUGAAAGUGCAUGGCAUUUUAAUGAGUCAGCCUUGAAAGUCACAUAAUGUUAGUUCUGCACUAUUCUUGGUUGAGGCAGACACUAAGAUCUGCCCAGCUUCAAGGGGAGGUGGCAAAGACCCCAUCAUUUGAUACGAGGAUUGUCAAGGUCACAUUGUAAUGAAAGCCUGUGAGAUGGGUGGUGAUGUUUCUGCCGUGUUGGAAAAUGCAAUCUGCUACACUGCUCUUUUCAUUUAACGUAUCAUACCAUUAAAAUAAUCUGUCAACUCUGUG